GUGAGUGGCGAACUGGUGAGUAACACGUGGGAAACCUGCCCAGAAGCGGGGGAUAACACCUGGAAACAGAUGCUAAUACCGCAUAACAACUUGGACCGCAUGGUCCGAGCUUGAAAGAUGGCUUCGGCUAUCACUUUUGGAUGGUCCCGCGGCGUAUUAGCUAGAUGGUGGGGUAACGGCUCACCAUGGCAAUGAUACGUAGCCGACCUGAGAGGGUAAUCGGCCACAUUGGGACUGAGACACGGCCCAAACUCCUACGGGAGGCAGCAGUAGGGAAUCUUCCACAAUGGACGAAAGUCUGAUGGAGCAACGCCGCGUGAGUGAAGAAGGGUUUCGGCUCGUAAAACUCUGUUGUUAAAGAAGAACAUAUCUGAGAGUAACUGUUCAGGUAUUGACGG
rnacentral:rRNA from 1 species